GAUGAUGCUGCUAUACAAGUCUACAAGGAUGGUGAUUAUGGAGCAUAUUUGGACUUGGAGUCCUCUUUGGCAGAACAGUCAGAAGAUAUUGAAGGCCUCAAUUCUAGUCGCAAAAAUUCUUUGGUGGUGCGCACCCAGUUAAGCGUCAGAGUUCAUGCAAUUAUUG